CGGGAGCUCUCAGCUUCCUGCUCCAGUGGCCAUGCCUGCCGCUUGCUGCCAUGCCGUCUCUGCCAUUGUGGAGCUAACCCUUACUUACGAGGGAAGAAGAGUCCAUCCAUCAGCUUUGAGUGUUCCACAGUGCAGCUGCUGCACUACACGUUCGGCAGGGCUUCGACCUGGGAGAGAGGGUUGAGAGCGGACUCAUCUUCUCCCUCCAUUCCUCUUCUCUGCUCAGAAGCUUGCCUGGGCUCAGCCCUAGGGAACUUGUGCAAGUUAGGCAAGCACUCUACCAUCGACCUACAUUCCAAGCCUUGUUGAGAAAUCAUCAUCAUCAUCAUCAUCAUCAAAAUCAUCAACAUCAUCGGCACAGGAAAUUCUCUCACUUGGCAAACAAACCUACUGGUGUUUCCAUCUCGUCCCUGGACUCCUGUGAGGCAUCUGACCGUCCUGGUAAAGAGCCCAGGCUCAGGAGCAGAUGGCAGGCUGUGACCUUGACUGUUUACUUCAGGCCUUAGUUUCCUCAGCUAUCAAAUGUUGGGGGACACUUGCAGGCCAAAACUGUACUCUCUAAGUCAUGUGGCUUUCGCAGCUUAGUUGCAUUCUCCCGCUCUCCAGCAGUGCCUGGGAAACACAAACACGCCUUUCCCAAAGGCAGCUGGAAUUGGCUAGAUUUUGAUUCUGUCAUUUUGAUGGAUUUGUUUGAAAUCUGGAAAGCAGAUAGGAAGAAGCCAUCGUCUUGCUUCACUGGGCUGUUUUUCUGCUGGCAAACCAGAGGCUACAACGGGGUGAGGCUUAUACUGCAGUUGGCUUCCGGCAUCCUUUGCUAGCUUCCGGAGUGCCGAAGGCAGUGGCAGCAGCAGCAUCUGCAGCCGAUUCUUGAACCUGGAUUCCUGCCUUGUGCUGUG